GGCUGGGCCCCGCACGGUGAAGCCCUGUGAACCCCGUCAGGUCCGGAAGGAAGCAGCGGCAGCAGGAGCUUUGCGCGUUGCGGAUUCGUCCGGUCCGG
rnacentral:SRP_RNA from 1 species